UACGUAGGGGGCAAGCGUUGUCCGGAUUUAUUGGGCGUAAAGAGCGUGUAGGCGGCCAAACAGGUCAGCUGUGAAAACUCGAGGCUCAACCUCGAGACGUCGGUUGAAACCGUUUGGCUAGAGUCCGGAAGAGGAGAGUGGAAUUCCCGGUGUAGCGGUGAAAUGCGCAGAUAUCGGGAAGAACACCCGUGGCGAAGGCGGCUCUCGUGGGACGGUACUGACGCUGAGACGCGAAAGCGUGGGGAGCGAACAGG
rnacentral:rRNA from 1 species